CCUCCCUCAAUACAGAAGGAUGUUCCAAAAGGCUCAGUUGAAUAAGAAAGGCAGGGAUGCACCUGCCAGCCACGUGUGCAGCUGGCACGUCAGCCUGGCGUCCGAGGACAGGAAUCCCUGCUGGUCUUUGGGCACCUGCCGCUGGCACAGGAUAUGCACACGGGCGUGGCAGUUUUUCCUUUCUCUGAUUACAAACCAGCAUUUUGGAGCCAUCUGGUUGAAGUCACAGAGCCCUGGGUGGUGGGGUGAUGUGGAGGUUACCUCCCGCAGCUGCGCACCUUAGAAGGCGGGGUCUGUUCUCUGCUCACUAGCCCAGUGCCUCAGACUCACAUCCAUGGAGGGCUCGCUCAGAUCAACUCCUGGGUCCCACCUCCAGUUUCUCGUUCAGAUCUGAGGUAUCAGAGCAGGGCUUGUCCAGCGAGAAGAUUAGAAAAGGAUACGAGCUCAUUCCCAUACGGUAAAGCCAGAGAAAGCCUUGCUGUGAAGAGAACAAACAGAACCUGUUUGGUGGCUUGUCAUUUCAAUGACAACACGAACCUUUCACAGCGUACUUCACAACAAGGGAGACUAAGAGACCCCACAGGUGAAGAAGCUUCUACCAGAGGAGCAGAACCAGCCUUGCUGAGAAGUCCCGACAGGCCCAACACCACAGGAGCUGGAAUCUGAGACACGGGUGCUCAUUUCCUGUUUAUUCUCUCAUACUUCCUGUGCUUAUCUCUCAUUAUUUACUAGUUACGUCCUUCUCUGGAGAGGUCUAGUAUAUCAGUUGAGCAGAGAGAAGGAGGUCAAGGCCACAACUGAUCUACAGUCUUAGUAAAUCUCCAUCUGCCAAGCAUUGCGGGUGGGGAGGACAGGGGCUAUUUGGGGUUGCGGGACCUGGUGGGGCUGGUGGGGCUGUGGGACUUAGGCAAGUGAACACCCUCCGGUGAGUGCCCUGGAGACAAGGGAGGAAGGCAGCUCCUCUUCUUCAUCUUCCCCAUGCAUUCCAGAAAGACCUACAAUGACCUGGAGGCAUCAAGCAUGAAGCCCACCUUCACCGUCACCCCGCCCCAUCUCAGUUCCAAAUAGCUACAGUCAGGUGUACAGAACAGCCUCAGGAGCUAGGUCUUUCCAUCGUGCAUCCGAAAGCACCCCAACCUCCAGAGAUGAAUGAUGCCAGUCAAAGCCCAUCCACAGACGUGGUGACUUUUGGCUGUGGCACAUACACCCAGCUUGGGAGAUGUCCCUGAGGCCUGCCCCUCCCCACCACUCGCCAUCAACCAGCAGCCAGCCCUCCUGUACUGCUUCAGAUGGAUCCACCCCUUUUCUAGUCCCACCACCAAGUCUGGGACCAGUUUCCCCGGUGCCCACAUGAUGGCAAAGCCAGGUAACUGCUGUCCUAGCUUCUCGAUCUCCCUUCUUCCCUGUGCUGUUGCUGUGUUCUCACGGGAUUAAUCCUGGAACAGCAUUUUGACCAUUCUCCUAAAAGCAAUCAACUUUAACCCAUUCCCAAAAAGGCUUCAUAAUUCAAGUUUUUUCCCUACCAAUCAAUACAUGCUUCAAUUUGAGGCCUACCUUCCUCUCUGGCCUAAGCAUAUUCUUUAGAUGUUUGCUAUUUUCCUACUUCACAGUGAGCAGACAACAAAUUGAUGGGUAAGAGUCACCUUUUCCACAGAGGAACCUGAUACAGGCACUGGUUUUUAAUUCAGCGAGGUAUCUGACCUAGACCUACUGAACGUAUUUGUGAGGGUAAAGCCUGAGCAUGUGUAUUUUUUUCUGUUUUGAAUGCUGCAUAUACUCACGAUCCAAUAAAUAAUCUAUUUCAGGGGCAAUAAAAGCAGUUAUCAAGUUAUUUUCCCAGUUCACCUAAGAGAUGAUAUAAAGACUUUGAAACUGCUGUGGCCAUAAGGCUGGAACAGAAAAACGUGAGAGAUUAAAGGGAAGGGAUUUUGAAAUUUUCAUGACUAACACGCAGGGCGGGAGUACAGUUCAAGAACAAAAAGAGAAGUGAACCGUGGCCGCCAAAAUGCGAAACAGACUAAGGACCAAAAACUGUCCACUGAACUCACCAACCAAGUGACCUUAUCAAGGGCUAGCAGUACAGAGACAGUCGAGUGGAAAGCACACGACAGCAGACGAACGCGGGGACGGAGGAGUGGGGUGCAUAGUGAAUUGUUUUAGAAGCUGGGGUGUGAUGUCCGGAGCGGAGGUGGGUGAAAAUAGGUGAUGGGGAUUAAGGAGUGCACUUGUUGUGAUGAGCGCCAGGUAGGAAGUGCUGAAUCACUGUAUCAUACACCUGAAACUAAUAUAACACUGUAUGUGAACUACCUGGAAUUAAAAUUUAAAAAGUUGAGGUGUGACAGGAAGGACAAAAAGGCAGUAGCUACAGGAACUACUGGGUUGGAGAAAGGUAUUUUGACUCAUUGGUUUUGUUUACCUAUUUUGUUUUGCUUUUAGGACUAGGAGAAGCCUACUGAUUAGCUAUGAGGCGAGAGAAGGUAAACAAAGCCCCAUGGAGAAACCCUCAUUUCCAAGGUCUGCUGGACUAGAUAGCCUGGUUGGCCCGUUGAAAUGGUUUUCAGAUGCGGAAUGCGGUAUGAAAAUACCUCCGAGGACUCUCUCUUCCUGGCAGAAGGACACUGUCCCAUCAUACAAAAUGACCAGGGUAAUUUAAAAAAGAACCAAAUUGAACUUUUUUUUUUUUUUAAAGAAAAAAAAUUCAUAGCAAUUUAAAAACUCAAGUGGAUGGGGGUAAACAGAAGAUUUAGCAUAGCUGAAGUGUUGGACAAAUUUAAUAUUAGGCAUAAUUUUUUAUAAACGUCACAAAAGAUGAGGGGAGAACUUCUUUUAACCCAAAUUUAAGGUACAACU